AAUAAUUAUAAGUGUUUCCUUUUGAUAGUAAUUUGAGCAAUGGUAGACAAACUAUCAAUCUUAUACUUGACAAAGUACUUCUAGUAAUGGAAAAUUUAUGUCAAUAUUUAAGAAGCAACUUCAACUUCUUUUGCAUCGGAGAAAAAGUUUUUCAAAAAUACAGAUUUCAUCAAUCGAGAAGUAUUUAAAAAGGAUAAAAAGAAAUAGGUUAGGUAUCAGUUAAAAAAUACAAAACGUACGCUUACAAUUAGACAAAAGAAGAAUGGCUUUUGAGAAUAAAAAUUCUAUUCGUAAAAAAAACCAUUUCAUGGCAAGAAAAUAUAUUUUUAUUUUCAUUUUAGUUGUAAUCAAAUAAUGAAUAUAUUAUGCAUAUCGAUUUCAAAUUCAUUAUUCUUGAAUGAAAUAUACCGAUCUGCUGACAGUUGUGCAACUAGAUUGCAUAAAAUUCAACGAUAUCGUGAAACAUGAUACAUAAAAUGAAAAACUAUAUAUCAAUCAUAUAUUUUAUUUUGAAUUCCAUCAGUUAAAAGAAAUAUCUGAAUAAAAUUAUUUUUCAGGUAUGUCCAGAUCUGAUAAUAGGAAAAAAAAAACAAGAUCUUGAACUACCAUUGAAAAUAAUAGAUUAUAAAACGAAAUUUCACUUUUGUUGUUCAACCGAGCGAAUAUAUAAUUUCCGUCUUUUUCCGCAAGUCCUCAAACGAGAGCGAAUUUAUAUCUCAUAAGGUAUUUAUACGUUUCUAUAAAAUCUUUUAUAAACUAUGGUUAAUUAAAAAAUAUUAUUUUCAUAAAAAAAAUAUUCUCAAGAUGCGUCAAAAAAUUAUUACUAUUUCAAGCGAUAUGAUAAUUUCAAGCGAUAACUUUUAUAUAAUUUUUGCGAUAGAAAUACUCAAGGUCUCGUUAAACGGUAAAAAAAAAGAAACUGUAAAUUCUUCUAAUUAUUAUUUAUCUUUACAGUUAUAUUCAUGUGGAAUAAGAAUGUGUAAAUUUAAAAAAAAAAUUGUAGAAAAUUAUAAAAUGGAUAACUGAGAUACGUCUAAAAUUCAUGUAGGCGCAUUUCCAAACAUUCUUUUCUAUAUUCUUUCGAGACAUUGCAAUGGAUUAUUAAUUUAGUUAUACAAUUCGAUAAAGAAUCAUAUUACGCAAUCAAUAUAAUUAUAAAAGUUUUCAUUUUAUGAAUUCAAUUAAUAAAUUGCGUUAUUUAAACUAAUUAAAAAAAUAAUUUUGUUUUAUAUUUAUAACAUACUGUUUUAUAUUUUAUAUUAUAAAAUUAUAAAUGUACAAAAUGUUAAUAUUAUUUCUGGAAUAUUUUUGAUAAGUUGAUUCUAGAGACUAAAAACAGAAUACACGGUAUACAGAAUAACAGAAAUAGAAAGAUUUCAUUAUAUUUUCGUUCUCCUUCCUUUAAUAUUUAAAUUAUUCAUUAUUUAAAUAAUCAACUGAUUUAUUUUUUAUUUAUUUUUUUUAUCAACUUAUAUGUUUAUUUUGGCUUGGUUUUUCAAUAUAUUGAAAUUACAAUCUGUACACAUUAAAAUUAAUUUUCUUUGUAAGGUAAUGUAUAAGAAUUUCUGCCAUUGAUUGUAUUUAUCAUUUUGAAAUAUAAAAUAUGAUUAAUAUAUGAAUAUUGUGUUAAAAAAAAGUGAGAAAAAAACAGUGUA